ensembl:snoRNA small nucleolar RNA R38
UUAAGCCGAAGAUGAUACAAGUUAUCCCUGUCUGAAUUUAGCUGUGGAGUCACGGUAACCUGAGGCUUGA